AUCUGAUGGCGAAUCCCAAAUAGGACGAAAUGCGCAUCCUAGAU
rnacentral:hammerhead_ribozyme from 1 species